GAAGAAUUGUUUCAGUAUUCGAUAAUGGAUAAAAGGGUUUUUUCGAUUUUGAAGAAAGGAAGAGAUUGUUUUGUUUGUGUUGUUCGAAAGCAAGGUUCUUGACGCAGAUCGAUUCUCCAGCCUUCCGCCUUCCUUCAAUUCAACUCAGCUCUCUGCGCCUUCCCCUGCACGCCCAUGGCCGCAUCAUAGCACCGAUUGAUCAAUCGAUCACAUCAAAAUCAAUGGCGGAAAGCGCAUCACCGUCGUCCAAACCCUCACCAUUGGACCCUCAAAACCCCGCACCAUCCUCCAACCCUACAAUCCCUUCCCCUUCCCACAACAACAUGCCUUCACCUUCGCUCCCUCCGCUUCCCCAAGACCAGCAACAGCAACAGCAGCAGCAGCAAAAUCUUCAUCAACAGUUGAGUCCGCCUCAACAACAACAGCCUCUCGUGUCGUCGCAAGCCAUGAACACCAUCAACGGCAUCAACCCUAUCUCCAAUUUCCAACUCCAGCAGACGCUGCAGCGAUCGCCUUCCAUCUCGCGCCUCAAUCAAAUCCAGCCUCAGCAGCAGUUCGGCGUCAUGCGCCAGCAGGCCGGAUUGUACGGCGGACAGAUGAGCUUUGCUGCCGCGGGUGGCGGAGCGGGCCAGCAGCAGCAGUUGGGCGGCUCCAAUUUGUCGCGGUCCGCGCUGAUAGGGCAGAGCGGACACUUCCCCAUGUUGUCUGGUGCUGGCUCGCAGUUUAACUUGCUCUCCUCGCCAAGGCAAAAAGGUGGGCUAGUUCAGCAGUCUCAGUUCUCAGGUAAUUCUGCUGGACAGUCUCUGCAAGGAAUGCAAGCAAUGGGUAUGAUUGGAACGCCAAAUCUCACCUCUCAACUGCGAGCUAAUGGAGCCCUUGCUUAUGCACAGCAGCUGCGAAUGGGUCCGGGUCAAAUCAGGCAGCAGAUGUCUCAGCAAAGUUCACUAACUGGACAGGUUCAAGGUUUACCAAGGUCAUCAUCCCUUGCUUUUAUGAACUCUCAGUUGUCUGGGUUGUCUCAGAAUGGGCAACCAGGGAUGGUUCAUAACUCCUUAACACAGCAACAGUGGCUUAAGCAAAUGCCAGCAAUGUCUGGCCCUGCCUCACCAUUGCGUCUUCAACAGCAGCAGAGGCAGCCGUUGGCUUCUUCUACUCAAUUGCAACAAAACUCUAUGAGCCUGAACCAGCAACAAUUGUCCCAGCUGAUUCAGCAACAGAAAUCGAUGGGGCAGUCUCAGCUGCAUCAGCAGCAACAGCAGCAGCAGCCUCAACAACAGCUGCAACAACAGCUCUUACAUCAGCAGCCACAACAACAGUCUCAGCCACAGGCUUCUGUCCAUCAACAGCAACAGUCUCCAAGGAUGCCAGGAACUGCAGGCCAAAAGUCAUUCAGUCUAACAGGAUCACAGCCAGACGCUACUGCAUCUGGUGCAACUACACCAGGUGGUAGUUCUAGCCAAGGAACAGAAGCAACAAACCAAGUUCUUGGGAAGAGAAAGAUACAGGAUUUAGUUGCACAGGUGGAUCCACAAGGUACACUGGACCCCGAAGUUAUAGAUCUUCUUUUAGAGCUUGCUGAUGACUUCAUUGACUCUACAACUACACAUGGUUGCAUUUUGGCAAAACAUAGAAAAUCAUCAACUUUGGAGUCCAAGGAUUUAUUGCUACACCUCGAGAAAAAUUGGGAUUUAACAAUUCCUGGAUAUUCAAGUGAAGAGAAGAAGUAUCAAAGCAAACCUCAAUUAAAUGACCUUCACAAGAGGCGCCUGGAUAUUAUUCGCACAAUGAUGGAAUCUUCGGCCUCUGAGUCAAAUAUUAAUAGUUCUAAAGAGUCGAGUAGACAGGGCAUUUCAAAUCCUACCCCUAUGGGAGCUCACCAUCUAGUAAGACCCAUGAGUUCAGAGCAGUUGGUUUCUCAGGCAGCUGGUUCUCAAAUGCUACAGCAGAUGACAAGGUUUUAAUGAACUUUUGAUUUUGGACUUCGUGCUGCUAGGUUUGACUGCCUGUGCCUGGCAGGUCUGGAAAGAGAUUGCUUUCUGAAACUGAUUAGUAUACAAGGGAACUGUAAUUACUUAGUAUUUAGACAUGAAAAAUAGUUGUUAAAGGAUCCCAGUAACUCUUGAUAUUGCCCCAACCCUCAAUAGUAGUCCUUUUGUUUUACUGUUUGAUCUUAAUUAUGGUUUUCUAAUGUCCA